rnacentral:rRNA from 2 species
UCCAUCGGAUAACCCGUCGAGAGGCGGCCUAACACGAUAUGCAGUUCUCAGCAGGCAUCUAACGAGAACGAAAUGUGAAGGAGAAGGAUGGGGAUGCGUCUGAUUAGCUUGUUGGCGGGGUAACGGCCCACCAAGGCGACGAUCAGUAGGGGUUCUGAGAGGAAGGUCCCCCACAUUGGAACUGAGACACGGUCCAAACUCCUACGGGAGGCAGCAGUGAGGAAUAUUGGUCAAUGGGCGAGAGCCUGAACCAGCCAAGUAGCGUGCAGGAUGACGGCCCUAUGGGUUGUAAACUGCUUUUAUGCGGGGAUAAAGUGAGCCACGUGUGGCUUAUUGCAGGUACCGCAUGAAUAAGGACCGGCUAAUUCCGUGCCAGCAGCCGCGGUAAUACGGAAGGUCCGGGCGUUAUCCGGAUUUAUUGGGUUUAAAGGGAGCGUAGGCCGUCUGAUAAGCGUGUUGUGAAAUGUCGGGGCUCAACCUGGGCAUUGCAGCGCGAACUGUCAGACUUGAGUGCGCGGGAAGUAGGCGGAAUUCGUCGUGUAGCGGUGAAAUGCUUAGAUAUGACGAAGAACUCCGAUUGCGAAGGCAGCCUGCUGUAGCGCAACUGACGCUGAAGCUCGAAAGCGUGGGUAUCGAACAGGAUUAGAUACCCUGGUAGUCCACGCGGUAAACGAUGGAUGCUCGCUGUUUGCGUCUGACGUAAGCGGC